UCCCCCUUAGUUAGGCGGCGAGCGAAGCGGGAAGAGCUCAAAUUUAUAAUCUGGCACCUUCGGUGUCCGAGUUGUAAUCUCUAGAAAUGUUUUCCGCGUUGGACCGCACACAAGUCUGUUGGAAUACAGCGGCAUAGUGGUGAGACCCCCGUAUAUGGUGCGGACGCCCAGCGCUUUGUGAUACAUUUUCGAAGAGUCGAGUUGUUUGGGAAUGCAGCUCAAAUUGGGUGGUAAAUUCCAUCUAAAGCUAAAUAUUGGCGAGAGACCGAUAGCGAACAAGUACCGUGAGGGAAAGAUGAAAAGCACUUUGGAAAGAGAGUUAACAGUACGUGAAAUUGUUGGAAGGGAAACGCUUGAAGUCAGACUUGCUUGCCGAGCAAUCGGUUUGCAGGCCAGCAUCAGUUUUCCGGGAUGGAUAAUGGUAGAGAGAAGGUAGCAGUUUCGGCUGUGUUAUAGCUCUCUGCUGGAUACAUCUUGGGGGACUGAGGAACGCAGUGUGCCUUUGGCGGGGGUUUCGACCUCUUCACACUUAGGAUGCUGGUGGAAUGGCUUUAAACGACCCGUCUUGAAACACGGACCAAAA
rnacentral:rRNA from 1 species